rnacentral:lncRNA from 10 species
CUAAAACUAGGCUCUGUUCCUAUCACUUAAAAGCUUUGUAGAAGAUGGGCACAGUGGCCCAUGCCUGUAAUACUGAAAGUCUGAGGCAGGCGGGUCACUUGAGCCCAGGAGUUUCAGACCAGCCUGGGCAACAUAGCAAGACCCCAUCUCAGAAAAAAAUCUUUGGGACCAGCUUAUCCAUCUUUUUGUCCAAUCCCAGCAGCUCAAUAGACACCAGAUCAAGUCUACGGGUGAGGGGUAGGACGGAGCCUCUUUUGUUGCUUGGAAUGUCUGCUUCAGAAAAAGCUGAACCAGUUUACUCUGAUACAGAUAUUUUGCCCUUUUGGAAACUGAAGAUAAAACAGAAAAAGAAAAGAAUUUUAAGAUAUGUUAAUCUAGCAAAACUAACAUAAGAAUGGCCACCGUGAAUUUCAUGAAAUUUUGCCACAGAGCAAUACUAAAAACUGAAUGAUUAUGCCUUUUUCCAUAUUUUAAUUAAAACUGAAAUGAAAAUACUCACUGUUGGAAAGUAA